CCUACGGGAGGCAGCAGUGAGGAAUAUUGGUCAAUGGCCGUGAGCCUGAACCAGCCAAGUCGCGUGAAGGAUGACUGUUCUAUGGGUCGUAAACCUCUUUUAUAUGGUACUAAAAUGUUCCACGUGUCCUAUUUUGUAUGUACCAUAUGAAUAAGGAUCGGCUAACUCCGUGCCAGCAGCCGCGGUAAUACGGAGGAUCCGAUCGUUAUCCGGAUUUAUUGGGUUUAAAGGGCGCGAAGGUGGAUUGUUAAGUCAGUGGGGAAAGUUUGUGGCUCAACCGUAAAAUUGCAGUUGAAACUGGCAGGUUUGAGUACAGUAGAGGUGGGCGGAAGUCGUGGUGUAGCGGUGAAAUGCUUAGAUAUCACGAAGAACCCCGAUUGCGAAGGCAGCUCA
rnacentral:rRNA from 1 species